GAUGAACGCUGGCGGCGUGCUUAACACAUGCAAGUCGAACGAUGAAGCCCAGCUUGCUGGGUGGAUUAGUGGCGAACGGGUGAGUAACACGUGAGUAACCUGCCCUUAACUCUGGGAUAAGCCUGGGAAACUGGGUCUAAUACCGGAUAGGAGCGUCCACCGCAUGGUGGGUGUUGGAAAGAUUUAUCGGUUUUGGAUGGACUCGCGGCCUAUCAGCUUGUUGGUGAGGUAAUGGCUCACCAAGGCGACGACGGGUAGCCGGCCUGAGAGGGUGACCGGCCACACUGGGACUGAGACACGGCCCAGACUCCUACGGGAGGCAGCAGUGGGGAGUAUUGCACAAUGGGCGCAAGCCUGAUGCAGCGACGCCGCGUGAGGGAUGACGGCCUUCGGGUUGUAAACCUCUUUCAGUAGAGAAGAAGCGAAAGUGACGGUACCUGCAGAAGAAGCACCGGCUAACUACGUG
rnacentral:rRNA from 1 species